rnacentral:rRNA from 1 species
UGAGGAAUAUUGGUCAAUGGGCGUAAGCCUGAACCAGCCAAGUCGCGUGAGGGAUGAAGGUUCUAUGGAUCGUAAACCUCUUUUAUACGGGAAUAAACGGAUCCACGUGUGGAUUUUUGCAUGUACCGUAUGAAUAAGGAUCGGCUAACUCCGUGCCAGCAGCCGCGGUAAUACGGAGGAUCCGAGCGUUAUCCGGAUUUAUUGGGUUUAAAGGGAGCGUAGAUGGGUUGUUAAGUCAGUUGUGAAAGUUUGCGGCUCAACCGUAAAAUUGCAAUUGAUACUGGCAGUCUUGAGUACAGUUGAGGUAGGCGGAAUUCGUGGUGUAGCGGUGAAAUGCUUAGAUAUCACGAAGAACUCCGAUUGCGAAGGCAGCUUACUAACCUGUAACUGACAUUGAUGCUCGAAAGUGUGGGUAUCAAACAGGAUUAGAUACCCUGGUAGUCCACACGGUAAACGAUGAAUACUCGCUGUAGGCGAUAUACAGUCUGCGGCCAAGCGAAAGCAUUAAGUAUUCCACCUGGGGAGUACGCCGGCAACGGUGAAACUCAAAAGAAUUGACGGGGGCCCGCACAAGCGGAGGAACAUGUGGUUUAAUUCGAUGAUACGCGAGGAACCUUACCCGGGCUUAAAUUGCAACCGAAUAUGGCGGAAACGCUAUAGCUAGCAAUAGCGGUUGUGAAGGUGCUGCAUGGUUGUCGUCAGCUCGUGCCGUGAGGUGUCGGCUUAAGUGCCAUAACGAGCGCAACCCUUGCCGAUAGUUACUAACAGGUUAUGCUGAGGACUCUGUCGGGACUGCCAUCGUAAGAUGUGAGGAAGGUGGGGAUGACGUCAAAUCAGCACGGCCCUUACGUCCGGGGCUACACACGUGUUACAAUGGGGGGUACAGAGGGCUGCUACCACGCAAGUGGAUGCCAAUCCCAAAAACCUCUCUCAGUUCGGAUUGAAGUCUGCAACCCGACUUCAUGAAGCUGGAUUCGCUAGUAAUCGCGCAUCAGCCACGGCGCGGUGAAUACGUUCCC